AUACAGAGGGUGCGAGCGUUAAUCGGAAUUACUGGGCGUAAAGCGCGCGUAGGCGGCUUAUUAAGUCAGAUGUGAAAUCCCCGGGCUCAACCUGGGAACUGCAUCUGAUACUGGUAAGCUAGAGUUUUGGAGAGGGAAGUAGAAUUUCAGGUGUAGCGGUGAAAUGCAUAGAGAUCUGAAGGAAUACCAGUGGCGAAGGCGACUUCCUGGCCAAAAACUGACGCUGAGGUGCGAAAGCGUGGUUAGCAAACGGGAUUAGAUACCCCAGUAGUCC
rnacentral:rRNA from 1 species